CAUGGAAACACCUGUUCUCAUAUGAUCACUGAAGUUAAGCAAUGUUGAGCCUGAUCAAUAACUAGAUUGGUGACUGGGAAUACCAGAUGCUGUAAG